rnacentral:rRNA from 1 species
CCUACGGGAGACUGCAGUGGGGAAUAUUGGGCAAUGGGCGCAAGCCUGACCCAGCAACGCCGCGUGAAGGAAGAAGGCUUUCGGGUUGUAAACUUCUUUUCUCAGGGACGAAGCAAGUGACUGUACCUAAGGAGGAAGCCCCGGCUAACUAUGUGCCAGCAGCCGCGGUAAUACAUAGGGUGCAAGCGUUAUCCGGAAUUAUUGGGUGUAAAGGGUGCGUAGACGGAAGAACAAGUUGGUUGUGAAAUCCCUCGGCUCAACUGAGGAACUGCAACCAAAACUAUUCUCCUUGAGUGUCGGAGAGGAAAGUGGAAUUCCUAGUGUAGCGGUGAAAUGCGUAGAUAUUAGGAGGAACACCAGUGGCGAAGGCGACUUUCUGGACGAUAACUGACGUUGAGGCACGAAAGUGUGGGGAGCAAACAGGAUUAGAUACCCCGGUAGUC